rnacentral:tRNA from 1 species
UAGGUUGAAGCCAGUUGUCUAGGGUAUUUAGCUGUUAACUAAAUUUUCGUGGGUUCAUGUCCUACCAGCCUAG